rnacentral:rRNA from 1 species
AUACGGGAGGCAGCAGUAAGGAAUAUUGGACAAUGGUCGCAAGACUGAUCCAGCCAUGCCGCGUGAAGGAUGAAUGCCCUAUGGGUUGUAAACUUCUUUUAAACGGGAAAAAACCCCACUACGUGUAGUGGGCUGAUGGUACCGUAAGAAUAAGGAUCGGCUAACUUCGUGCCAGCAGCCGCGGUAAUACGAAGGAUUCGAGCGUUAUCCGGAUUUAUUGGGUUUAAAGGGUGCGUAGGUGGAUUAAUAAGUCAGUGGUGAAAGCCCAGAGCUCAACUCUGGAACUGCCAUUGAUACUGUUAAUCUUGAGUACAGUUGAGGUGGGCGGAAUGUGUCAUGUAGCGGUGAAAUGCUUAGAUAUGACACAGAACACCGAUUGCGAAGGCAGCUCACUAAGCUGUAACUGACACCGAGGCACGAAAGCGUGGGGAGCAAACAGGAUUAGAUACCCGAGU